rnacentral:rRNA from 2 species
GUCCUAAGGUAGCGAAAUUCCUUGUCGGGUAAGUUCCGACCUGCACGAAUGGUGUAACGAUCUGGGCGCUGUCUCAGCCAUGAGCUCGGUGAAAUUGUGGUCCCGGUGAAGACGCCGGGUACCCGCAACGGGACGGAAAGACCCCAUGCACCUUCACUACAAUUUAACAUUGCCACUGGGUACAGGAUGUGUAGGAUAGGUGGGAGGCUUUGAAGCGGUGUCGCCAGGCAUCGUGGAGCCAACGUUGAAAUACCACCCUUUCUGUAUUCGGUGUCUAACUCUGCUAUGUGGAGGACAUUGUUUGAUGGGUAGUUUGACUGGGGUGGUCGCCUCCAAAAAGGUAACGGAGGCUUUCAAAGGUAAGCUCAGUACGCUUGGUAACCGUACGGGGAGUGCAAUAGCAUAAGCUUGCUUGACUGUGAGACAUACAGGUCGAUCAGGGUCGAAAGACGGAUAUAGUGAUCCGGUGGUUCUGCAUGGAAGGGCCAUCGCUCAAAGGAUAAAAGGUACGCUGGGGAUAACAGGCUGAUCUCCCCCAAGAGCUCAUAUCGACGGGGAGGUUUGGCACCUCGAUGUCGGCUCGUCACAUCCUGGGGCUGGAGAAGGUCCCAAGGGUUCGGCUGUUCGCCGAUUAAAGUGGCACGCGAGCUGGGUUCAGAACGUCGCGAGACAGUUCGGUCCCUAUCUGUUGUGGGCGUAGGAAUUUUGAGUGGGGCUGACCUUAGUACGAGAGGACCGGGUUGGACCAGCCUCUAGUGAAUCUGUUGUUCCGCCAGGGGCAUUGCAGAGUAGCUACGCUGGGAAUAGAUAAGCGCUGAAAGCAUCUAAGUGCGAAACUAGCCACGAGAUGAGAAUUCCAUAUAGGACCGUAGCAGACUACUACGUUGAUAGGCUAUAGAUGUAAAGCUGGUGACAGAACAGUCGAGUAGUACUAAUCAUCCGAAGCUUUCAAA